AUCUAGCCCCGAUGGAAGUGGUAUCCUUUUGUGCCGGGGUUCGGCACAAAAGAUAUAGCGGACAGCGGGACUGGAC
rnacentral:sRNA from 1 species